rnacentral:rRNA from 1 species
UACGAAGGGUGCAAGCGUUGUUCGGAAUAACUGGGCGUAAAGGGCGUGUAGGCUGUUUUAUACGUCAGAUGUGAAAGUCCUGGGCUCAACCUGGGGAUUGCAUUUGAUACGGUAAAACUAGAGGUUAUGAGGGGAGAAUGGAAUUGCUCGUGUAGAAGUGAAAUUCGUAGAUAUGAGCAGGAACACCAAUGGCGAAGGCAAUUCUCUGGUAUUAACCUGACGCUGAGGCGCGAGAGCGUGGGGAGCAAACAGG